GGUCAGUAAGAGAAUAUGUCUUAGUAAAAAGGAUGGAUGGUGUUCUGUUCCUCAGGAAUACCCCAGAGCCAUAGUGUCAUUUUUGCUGUCUUGGCUUCCAUGCUUGUAAGCAGACUGGGACUUGGUAAGCUCUUGGAAUAACAGGAAGAACACAAGCCUGUCCAUGGUGCACUAAACCCAAUACAAUGGAUUCAUUCUUUGCACUAGAAAUAAGAAGGUACUUAACAUAAUAAAGAAUCAUCUUAGGGGUCAUCCACCUUGCUUUUUGAGACAGUCUGACACUAGCUAGAGUUCACUACUAGGCUGGCCGGCCAGUGAACCCUAGGGAUCUGUCUGUCUGACCUUCCGUAUUACAAGUACACGCUCUACG